UUAUCAACCGCCUCUUUCUCUCUCUAUUCUUUUCCUUCACUGCUUCACACCGAAACCCUAGCCUCCGUGUUCCUUUGGCUUGAAGCUUCUACAUCUCAUUUUCUCUGAAAACAUACGCUUGUGCUUGAAUCGACUGAUAAGGGAGACACGCUUUGCCCUUUCCAAUUCCUGCUCUCAAACCCUACUGUCCGAAUACACAUCUUCCCCUUCACGUUUCCUGCCGAUCAAUCGAUUUAUCAAUCCUAUAAUAUACUAAUCUCAUCAAUGUUGAAAGCCAUCAUCAAUUUGGCGUAGAUGGGUAUUCAAGAAAAUAAAGGCAUAAGUGGGAGUUUGGGUUCGUUUCUUACUCGCAGAUGCUUUGGUUGUCUUAUGAGGGGCUACUUAGAAGGUUUUGGUGUGUGCUGCCUCCUUUAGAAGAAGAGGAUGUUCCUCAACUAUACCCAAAAGGGUCAAAUCUUGGUGAGUGAGCUUGAGAAACAGUUGAAAAUGGAGAUAAAAUCAAGAAACAGAGCCAGAGCCAGAGUCUAAAAGAUCUGGUAAAAGACAUAAUUUCUCUUUAGAUGAUGGUAAUUUAGGGUCUUUUAAUGAGGAUAUUUUUUGAGUAGUCUAAUGAGAAUAAGAGUUAGAAAGAAAGAUGGAGCUGGAGAUCUUUUAAAAAAGAAGAUGACAAUGGCUAGAUUUUAUGUAUUUUGGUUCCAGCGGAAUGAAAUGGUCAAGACCGGGUUCUCCGGGUUCGGAGGAACCCGACUUUGUAGUGGGGCUACUUCAACUUCAAAGAUGAAACAAGGGUUACUAAAUAAAGUUCAAUAAGCAAUCCCAAACACCCCUCUAAAAGUAACUUAUUUAGUUAAUGCUUAAAAGUCAAAUGUGGUCAUGAUUUGUUCUUUUGAUGUUUUCUUUUCGUAUAUGCUCAGGCAUGAUUUUACUUUCAACAACUUAUAUCAUGAGUUAGUUACUGUCAUUCAAUGUUAUACAAUCUUUUUGUUCAGUUUACUAUUCUACUAUUUCUUUGUUCAUAACAGUAUCGCCUCUAGCUCUAUUCUGCACCGAUUAUUGUGUUGCAGGAAAUUUGUCACGGAUAUCUUAAGCUUGAAAAUACACUGUUGGAAGUGCAGCUCCUCGUGUUAAAAAUACUUAAAAUAUGUGAUUUUGGGUAUUCAAAGUCAUCAGUUAGGCGUUCCCAAUCAAAGUCAGCUGCAACUUACAUUGCACUUGAAGUUCUUUCAAGAAAAGAAUAUGAUGGAAAUGUGGCUCCUUUGAGCUUUUAGUUAUUUACUAGACAUGCAAUUUAAUGUUAUUUCUUAUUUGA
rnacentral:lncRNA from 1 species